UGGGGAAUAUUGCACAAUGGGGGAAACCCUGAUGCAGCGACGCCGCGUGAAGGAUGAAGUAUUUCGGUAUGUAAACUUCUAUCAGCAGGGAAGAAAAUGACGGUACCUGACUAAGAAGCCCCGGCUAACUACGUGCCAGCAGCCGCGGUAAUACGUAGGGAGCAAGCGUUAUCCGGAUUUACUGGGUGUAAAGGGCGCGCAGGCGGGGCGGUAAGUUGGAAGUGAAAUCUAUGGGCUUAACCCAUAAACUGCUUUCAAAACUGCUGGUCUUGAGUGAUGGAGAGGCAGGCGGAAUUCCGUGUGUAGCGGUGAAAUGCGUAGAGAUCGGGAGGAACACCAGUGGCGAAGGCGGCCUACUGGGCUUUAACUGACGCUGAGGCACGAAAGCAUGGGUAGCAAACAGGAUUAGAUACCCUGGUAGUCCAUGCCGUAAACGAUGAUUACUAGGUGUGGGGGGUCUGACCCCCUCCGUGUCGGAGUUAACACAAUAAGUAAUCCACCUGGGGAGUACGGCCGCAAGGUUGAAACUCAAAGGAAUUGACGGGGGCCCGCACAAGCAGUGGAGUAUGUGGUUUAAUUCGAAGCAACGCGAAGAACCUUACCAGGUCUUGACAUCCGACUAACGAAGUAGAGAUACAUUAGGUGCCCUUUUUGGGAAAGUCGAGACAGGUGGUGCAUGGUUGUCGUCAGCUCGUGUCGUGAGAUGUUGGGUUAAGUCCCGCAACGAGCGCAACCCUUGUCAUUAGUUGCUACGUAAGAGCACUCUAAUGAGACUGCCGUUGACAAAACGGAGGAAGGUGGGGACGACGUCAAAUCAUCAUGCCCCUUAUGACCUGGGCUACACACGUACUACAAUGGCCGUUAACAGAGGGAAGCAAUACCGUGAGGUGGAGCCAAACCCUAAAAACGGUCCCAGUUCGGAUUGUAGGCUGAAACUCGCCUACAUGAAGUUGGAAUUGCUAGUAAUCGCGGAUCAGCAUGCCGCGGUGAAUACGUUCCC
rnacentral:rRNA from 1 species